rnacentral:tRNA from 1 species
GGGCGGUUAGCUCAGUCGGUUAGAGUGCUUGCUUCACACGCAAGAAGUCACUGGUUCAAAUCCAGUACCGCCCACCA